rnacentral:rRNA from 1 species
CAGCAGCCGCGGUAAAACGGAGGGGGCUAGCGUUAUUCGGAAUUACUGGGCGUAAAGCGCACGUAGGCGGAUCAGAAAGUCAGAGGUGAAAUCCCAGGGCUCAACCUUGGAACUGCCUUCGAAACUCCUGAUCUUGAGGUCGAGAGAGGUGAGUGGAAUUUCGAGUGUAGAGGUGAAAUUCGUAGAUAUUCGGAAGAACACCAGUGGCGAAGGCGGCUCACUGGCUCAUUCUAGACGCUGAGGUGCGAAAGCGUGGGGAGCAAACAGGAUUAGAUACCCCUGUAGUCCCUGUCUCUUAUAU